CACUGAGGCGUGACGACGAGGCACUACGGUGCUGAAGCAACAAAUGCCCUGCUUCCAGGAAAAGCCUCUAAGCAUCAGGUAACAUCAAAUCGUACCCCAAACCGACACAGGUGGUCAGGUAGAGAAUACCAAGGCGCUUGAGAGAACUCGGGUGAAGGAACUAGGCAAAAUGGUGCCGUAACUUCGGGAGAAGGCACGCUGACACGUAGGUGAAGUGAUUUACUCAUGGAGCUGAAGUCAGUCGAAGAUACCAGCUGGCUGCAACUGUUUAUUAAAAACACAGCACUGUGCAAACACGAAAGUGGACGUAUACGGUGUGACGCCUGCCCGGUGCCGGAAGGUUAAUUGAUGGGGUCAGCGCAAGCGAAGCUCCUGAUCGAAGCCCCGGUAAACGGCGGCCGUAACUAUAACGGUCCUAAGGUAGCGAAAUUCCUUGUCGGGUAAGUUCCGACCUGCACGAAUGGCGUAAUGAUGGCCAGGCUGUCUCCACCCGAGACUCAGUGAAAUUGAACUCGCUGUGAAGAUGCAGUGUACCCGCGGCAAGACGGAAAGACCCCGUGAACCUUUACUAUAGCUUGACACUGAACAUUGAGCCUUGAUGUGUAGGAUAGGUGGGAGGCUUUGAAGUGUGGACGCCAGUCUGCAUGGAGCCGACCUUGAAAUACCACCCUUUAAUGUUUGAUGUUCUAACGUGGACCCGUUACCCGGGUUGCGGACAGUGUCUGGUGGGUAGUUUGACUGGGGCGGUCUCCUCCUAAAGAGUAACGGAGGAGCACGAAGGUUGGCUAAUCCUGGUCGGACAUCAGGAGGUUAGUGCAAUGGCAUAAGCCAGCUUGACUGCGAGCGUGACGGCGCGAGCAGGUGCGAAAGCAGGUCAUAGUGAUCCGGUGGUUCUGAAUGGAAGGGCCAUCGCUCAACGGAUAAAAGGUACUCCGGGGAUAACAGGCUGAUACCGCCCAAGAGUUCAUAUCGACGGCGGUGUUUGGCACCUCGAUGUCGGCUCAUCACAUCCUGGGGCUGAAGUAGGUCCCAAGGGUAUGGCUGUUCGCCAUUUAAAGUGGUACGCGAGCUGGGUUUAGAACGUCGUGAGACAGUUCGGUCCCUAUCUGCCGUGGGCGCUGGAGAACUGAGGGGGGCUGCUCCUAGUACGAGAGGACCGGAGUGGACGCAUCACUGGUGUUCGGGUUGUCAUGCCAAUGGCACUGCCCGGUAGCUAAAUGCGGAAGAGAUAAGUGCUGAAAGCAUCUAAGCACGAAACUUGCCCCGAGAUGAGUUCUCCCUGAGACUUUAGGUCUCCUGAAGGAACGUUGAAGAC
rnacentral:rRNA from 1 species